GUCAUAUGCUUGUCUCAAAGAUUAAGCCAUGCAUGUCUCAGUACAAGCCAAAUUAAGGUGAAACCGCGAAAGGCUCAUUAAAUCAGUUAUGGUUCCUUAGAUCGUACCCACAAUUACUUGGAUAACUGUGGUAAUUCUAGAGCUAAUACAUGCAAACAGAGCUCCGACCGGAGACGGAAGGAGUGCUUUUAUUAGAUCAAAACCAAUCGGUGGCGGGCGUUCGCGCGCUCGUUAUCGUACAACUUGGUGACUCUGAAUAACUUUACGCUGAUCGCACGGUCAUCGCACCGGCGACGCAUCUUUCAAAUGUCUGCCUUAUCAACUGUCGAUGGUAGGUUCUGCGCCUACCAUGGUUGUAACGGGUAACGGGGAAUCAGGGUUCGAUUCCGGAGAGGGAGCCUGAGAAACGGCUACCACAUCCAAGGAAGGCAGCAGGCGCGCAAAUUACCCACUCCCGGCACGGGGAGGUAGUGACGAAAAAUAACGAUACGGGACUCAUCCGAGGCCCCGUAAUCGGAAUGAGUACACUCUAAACCCUUUAACGAGGAUCAAUUGGAGGGCAAGUCUGGUGCCAGCAGCCGCGG
rnacentral:rRNA from 1 species